UGGGGGAUAUUGCGCAAUGGGGGAAACCCUGACGCAGCAACGCCGCGUGAAGGAAGAAGGUUUUCGGACUGUAAACUUCUUUAAGUGGGGAAGAUAGUGACGGUACCCACAGAAUAAGCCACGGCUAACUACGUGCCAGCAGCCGCGGUAAUACGUAGGUGGCAAGCGUUGUCCGGAUUUACUGGGUGUAAAGGGCGUGUAGGCGGGUAAGCAAGUCAGAUGUGAAAUACCGGAGCUUAACUCCGGAGCUGCAUUUGAAACUGCAUAUCUUGAGUGUCGGAGAGGAAAGCGGAAUUCCUAGUGUAGCGGUGAAAUGCGUAGAUAUUAGGAGGAACACCGGUGGCGAAGGCGGCUUUCUGGACGAUAACUGACGCUGAGGCGCGAAAGCGUGGGGAGCAAACAGG
rnacentral:rRNA from 1 species